rnacentral:rRNA from 1 species
UACGUAGGGUGCGAGCGUUGUCCGGAAUUAUUGGGCGUAAAGAGCUUGUAGGCGGUCUGUCGCGUCUGCUGUGAAAAUCCGGGGCUCAACCCCGGACUUGCAGUGGGUACGGGCAGACUAGAGUGUGGUAGGGGAGACUGGAAUUCCUGGUGUAGCGGUGAAAUGCGCAGAUAUCAGGAGGAACACCGAUGGCGAAGGCAGGUCUCUGGGCCACCACUGACGCUGAGAAGCGAAAGCUGGGGGAGCGAACAGG